rnacentral:rRNA from 1 species
UACGUAGGGGGCAAGCGUUGUCCGGAUUUAUUGGGCGUAAAGAGCGUGUAGGCGGCUUUACAGGUCCGUUGUGAAAACUCGAGGCUCAACCUCGAGACGCCGGUGGAAACCGUAAAGCUAGAGUCCGGAAGAGGAGAGUGGAAUUCCUGGUGUAGCGGUGAAAUGCGCAGAUAUCAGGAGGAACACCGAUGGCGAAGGCAGGUCUCUGGGCAUUAACUGACGCUGAGGAGCGAAAGCAUGGGGAGCAAACAGGA